GACGAACGCUGGCGGCGUGCUUAACACAUGCAAGUCGGACGGAAAGGCCCUGCUUUUGUGGGGUGCUCGAGUGGCGAACGGGUGAGUAACACGUGAGUAACCUGCCCUUGACUUUGGGAUAACUUCAGGAAACUGGGGCUAAUACCGGAUAGGAGCUCCUGCUGCAUGGUGGGGGUUGGAAAGUUUCGGCGGUUGGGGAUGGACUCGCGGCUUAUCAGCUUGUUGGUGGGGUAGUGGCUUACCAAGGCUUUGACGGGUAGCCGGCCUGAGAGGGUGACCGGCCACAUUGGGACUGAGAUACGGCCCAGACUCCUACGGGAGGCAGCAGUGGGGAAUAUUGCACAAUGGGCAGAAGCCUGAUGCAGCAACGCCGCGUGCGGGAUGACGGCCUUCGGGUUGUAAACCGCUUUCGCCUGUGACGAAGCGUGAGUGACGGUAAUGGGUAAAGAAGCACCGGCUAACUACGUG
rnacentral:rRNA from 1 species